rnacentral:rRNA from 1 species
AACGAACGCUGGCGGCAUGCCUAACACAUGCAAGUCGAACGAAGGCUUCGGCCUUAGUGGCGCACGGGUGAGUAACGCGUGGGAAACUGCCUAUUGGAGGGGAAUAACGACGGGAAACUGUCGCUAAUACCGCAUAAGCCCUUCGGGGGAAAGAUUUAUCGCCGAUAGAUGUGCCCGCGUCCGAUUAGCUAGUUGGUGAGGUAAUGGCGCACCAAGGCGACGAUCGGUAGCUGGUCUGAGAGGAUGAUCAGCCACACUGGGACUGAGACACGGCCCAGACUCCUACGGGAGGCAGCAGUGGGAAUAUUGGACAAUGGGCGAAAGCCUGAUCCAGCAAUGCCGCGUGAGUGAUGAAGGCCUUAGGGUUGUAAAGCUCUUUCGGGUGGGACGAUGAUGACGGUACCACCAGAAGAAGCCCCGGCUAACUUCGUGCCAGCCGCCGCAGUAA